rnacentral:lncRNA from 1 species
UCGACUUAGUAAAUAGGGAGCAAUCCUAUGGGAUUUAAGAAGCUGAGUCCUUAAGUCAGUGACCACUGCAAGGUGAUUGAUGGAAAGGUAUUUCUAUAAGUUUCAUAAUUUGAACUCGAGCUAAUCGAAUUUUUCAUAUGAUGAAUAAUGGGGUUUGACGAGUUUUCAUGACCUUCAUCUUAUCGAGACUUACGAUAGAAGAACUGAAUCACAUGAUAACUACACCC